rnacentral:rRNA from 1 species
CCCCUUAUGAUUUGGGCUACACACGUGCUACAAUGGACAAUACAAAGGGCAGCGAAACCGCGAGGUCAAGCAAAUCCCAUAAAGUUGUUCUCAGUUCGGAUUGUAGUCUGCAACUCGACUACAUGAAGCUGGAAUCGCUAGUAAUCGUAGAUCAGCAUGCUACGGUGAAUACGUUCCCGGGUCUUGUACACACCGCCCGUCACACCACGAGAGUUUGUAACACCCGAAGCCGGUGGAGUAACCUUUUAGGAGCUAGCCGUCGAAGGUGGGACAAAUGAUUGGGGUGAAGUCGUAACAAGGUAGCCGUAUCGGAAGGUGCGGCUGGAUCACCUCCUUUCUAAGGA